UGAUUUUGCAGAAUUCUGCAGUAUUAUGGGGUACUUUGAAUUUUGUAAAUCUGAUAAUUUUUGAUUCAGAUGAUUGAGACGGAAGUUUUAAAAUGACGUGGAUUUUAAACGAUUUUUUAAGUAGACCUUUUUUCCUUUGUGAGAGGAAAAUUUUGCUUAUUACUAGCAAAAUUUGAAAUUUAGAACGGCGCGGCGUGUUGUGCACGACAGUUCUUUUUGUAUUUUGGUGGAUCGGUUUUCGGGCUUUUUUAAAAAAAUUUUAAAAUUGGGAUGAGUGUUAUAAUAUAUGAGUUCUAAGAUUAUUCUUUGUAUUAUAAAUAUAUAUUAUAGCUAAUGUGAGAAGGUGUCACGGUGAAGAAGAGGUAAAGAAGAGAUCCAACGAGGAAGGAGUAACAGAAGGUGUGUUAGAGUAACAGUGCUGUGUAGAAGGUGUACCAGCCUGCGAAGUCCUUCGUGGAUAGUGUAGUAGAACACCGGUGUUUUUAGUGUGUGUGUGUAGUAUUGUAGUGGAGUGUGGAACGAAGAUAAGAAGAUAUAGUAAACAGUAGCUAGGAGUGUAAGUAGUAGUCAACUAGAAGAAAGAAGAUAGUAACGAAGAAGUGUAUUUUGUAUAAACAUAGUUUUAGUAAUAUAUUUUAGUAGGAAGUAAAGACUUUUAGUUCGGAUAUUAUUUGGUGAUAUUUUAGUGUAGUAGUUUUAGUAAGUAGUUAGUUAGUAGUUAGUUUAUAGUGGGAAUCGGGUACAGGUCUAGGGAGGUUAGUGAGUAAGUGAAUUAUUAUAAUAUCUAGUGUUAAUUUAUUAACACCUUCUAUUUCAGUUUAUUUAUUAUAA